rnacentral:lncRNA from 1 species
CACAAGCUCAGAAUUCUGACUUCAUUGCAUAAUGCAGUAAGCCAGUACAUAUUGCAGGAAAACUGUCCUGUUAAACCAUCAAGUGCCUCGAUUUAUACUGCAAAGAGGAGAAAGGAAAACAAAGUGGGUUGAACCUAGCCUUGUGAGUUAGAUUGCCUGAGUUCUCCUUUUGACUCUCUCUCACUUGUUGCAUUGCCUUGGAUAAUUCUUUUUAAUUUGUCAAAAUCUCAGUUUCAUUGUUUAUGAAAUGAAGGUUAUGGUCAGGAACCUCUUUAUGUGUGGAGUAGACACACAGCAGGGAAAUCUCAGAAUAUCUAAUGCUCUGUCUGCUGUGGGCUCAAUAAAUCUAAAUCACAAAGCACAACAACAAAACUAAAACAAAAACCUUAAACCUGCCUGGAAAAAAAAAGCAAUUUAGCAGCAUCUGCAAAAGGAGAAAUCAAUAGCAUCUGUUGAUAAGAAUUCAACCAGCUUCCAAAGAUAAAGGAAACUUCUAAAAAAAUCUGGAAAUUCUUUGGCAAGAAUAAUGGAUAAAGGACUCAAGAAGUAUGCUUAAGAGACACACUCUACAUAAAAUUCUCUUGUGGGUUUGAAUCACCUAUGGAGGGAAAAUGAAGGCUGGAACGUAAUGGGGAGAUCAAUUCUGAAGCAAUUAAAUAAGCAGCCGACAAGGCUUUUUAAGCACCAGAGCAUUUGUCUCAAUAGAAAGCAGAGCAAGACCAAAGCUUUGAACUGCAGAGAAGGUGAUGAAAAAGGAGAUUCCUUUUUAAAACAAUCUAUCAAUGAAUUCUUCUAUCAACACAUCAUGAGUCCAUUCCCUUUACCAAUAUCCACAGGAAAUGGAAAAACAACAUGGAUCUGCAGAAAAGCAAGAGACUUGGAAUUUUGGCAACUGCCAGUCAACUGAGAUGGAGUCACAGUUCCAUGGAAUUUUGAAGGAAGCAGUUGGGCAGCUUGAGCUGUUUUGAGACUCACUUCUUUUCUGACAGUUGGGAGAAAGCCAGACUCUCUCUUGUUCAAUGAUUAUCUGACUGAGUACUGAGAAGACUUUUAGAACUUAGCUCAGAAGAAACUCUGCCAUCCAGUUGUUAUCAACAUCUCCCCUUAGAGAAAAAUCACUUUAUUUCCUGAAUUGAGAGCUCCAAUCAACAGGAAAAUAUAGGAAGUUAGAGAAACCCAUUUUCCUCUCUCCCCCCCUCCUUCUCCUUACUUCCUAUAUUUAAAAGAAUAAAAACUUUUUGUUAAAAAUUUGAGGGUGAAAG